AGUGGCCAGCAACCAUACUGACCAGCAACCAAGAUGACAAGCAAAAGUGACCGGAAACCAAGCUGAACUGCUCACCUCUUCACUUCUCUGAAUUUCGCACAUUCAUGGAACAAGCCACUCCUGGAGUGCUGAAGGAAAUCCAAAUAAUCAGCUGCAACCUGGAAAUGUAGAACAGGAAUUGAGAUUCCCAGUAGUAAUAGAGGGAACCGCAGAUCAGAGCCACGUUUCUUGGAAAGCAUUGCCCUUGCACAGCCACAGGAGAGCGAUAGCAGAAGUUGGUCACAAAGCUCCCCUGCACCUUCUCCUUAAUUUACUCUAGUUCUGAAGACCAGGCUGAAAUCCUGGCUAUAUUGAAAUCAAUGGCAAAAGUCCCAUUGACAUCCAUUGAGCCAGCAUUAUACUCUAGGGAUCUACUUCAGUGAGAACUGCCACAUGUGGGUGCUGGCGCUCUAGGAGGAACCAGAAAGGCUCAUAUGGAAGUCAGCUGAGUGUCAGGAUCUUACUGUAUUGAGGAACCACUG